GUGAGAAAAUAAUGCUGGUGUGGGGGUGUGUUGCUCGAAGGAUUUCAAGGACCAGAACGGGAUUGCUGCUCUCCGAGCAGUUUGAAAUCAUUUCCUCUGAGGGUGCCAACGGAGACCUGAAGGAAAGGUACCAGGAAAACCUUGGAGUCUCGUGGAUUCCAGCAUAAGGAUGAAUGUUUUGGUCCUGAACUCCUUUGGAAAUCUGCCAGGUGGGAAAAAGUCUGUGUGCACACAGAUACUUGGAGAGUCCUUCAGUUUGAAUGUGGGCCUCGGUGCAAGUUCCUCUUGAUACGGAAAUUCACAGGAACGCUGAACUUGAGGAAUAUGAG